rnacentral:rRNA from 1 species
AGCGGCGGAUGGGUGAGUAACACGUGGGGAACCUGCCCCUAAGUCUGGGAUACCAUUUGGAAACAGGUGCUAAUACCGGAUAAUAAAGCAGAUCGCAUGAUCAGCUUUUGAAAGGCGGCGUAAGCUGUCGCUAAGGGAUGGCCCCGCGGUGCAUUAGCUAGUUGGUAAGGUAACGGCUUACCAAGGCGACGAUGCAUAGCCGAGUUGAGAGACUGAUCGGCCACAUUGGGACUGAGACACGGCCCAAACUCCUACGGGAGGCAGCAGUAGGGAAUCUUCCACAAUGGACGCAAGUCUGAUGGAGCAACGCCGCGUGAGUGAAGAAGGUUUUCGGAUCGUAAAGCUCUGUUGUUGGUGAAGAAGGAUAGAGGUAGUAACUGGCCUUUAUUUGACGGUAAUCAACCAGAAAGUCACGGCUAACUACGUGCCAGCAGCCGCGGUAAUACGUGGGUGGCAAGCGUUGUCCGGAUUUAUUGGGCGUAAAGCGAGCGCAGGCGGAAAAAUAAGUCUAAUGUGAAAGCCCUCGGCUUAACCGAGGAACUGCAUCGGAAACUGUUUUUCUUGAGUGCAGAAGAGGAGAGUGGAACUCCAUGUGUAGCGGUGGAAUGCGUAGAUACAUGGAAGAACACCAGUGGCGAAGGCGGCUCUCUGGUCUGCAACUGACGCUGAGGCUCGAAAGCAUGGGUAGCGAACAGGAUUAGAUACCCUGGUAGUCCAUGCCGUAAACGAUGAGUGCUAAGUGU